rnacentral:rRNA from 2 species
AAAUUGAAGAGUUUGAUCAUGGCUCAGAUUGAACGCUGGCGGCAGGCCUAACACAUGCAAGUCGAACGGUAACAGGAAGCAGCUUGCUGCUUUGCUGACGAGUGGCGGACGGGUGAGUAAUGUCUGGGAAACUGCCUGAUGGAGGGGGAUAACUACUGGAAACGGUGGCUAAUACCGCAUAACGUCGCAAGACCAAAGAGGGGGACCUUCGGGCCUCUCGCCAUCAGAUGUGCCCAGAUGGGAUUAGCUUGUUGGUGAGGUAACGGCUCACCAAGGCGACGAUCCCUAGCUGGUCUGAGAGGAUGACCAGCCACACUGGAACUGAGACACGGUCCAGACUCCUACGGGAGGCAGCAGUGGGGAAUAUUGCACAAUGGGCGCAAGCCUGAUGCAGCCAUGCCGCGUGUAUGAAGAAGGCCUUCGGGUUGUAAAGUACUUUCAGCGGGGAGGAAGGUGUUGUGGUUAAUAACCGCAGCAAUUGACGUUACCCGCAGAAGAAGCACCGGCUAACUCCGUGCCAGCAGCCGCGGUAAUACGGAGGGUGCAAGCGUUAAUCGGAAUUACUGGGCGUAAAGCGCACGCAGGCGGUCUGUCAAGUCGGAUGUGAAAUCCCCGGGCUCAACCUGGGAACUGCAUUCGAAACUGGCAGGCUUGAGUCUUGUAGAGGGGGGUAGAAUUCCAGGUGUAGCGGUGAAAUGCGUAGAGAUCUGGAGGAAUACCGGUGGCGAAGGCGGCCCCCUGGACAAAGACUGACGCUCAGGUGCGAAAGCGUGGGGAGCAAACAGGAUUAGAUACCCUGGUAGUCCACGCCGUAAACGAUGUCUACUUGGAGGUUGUGCCCUUGAGGCGUGGCUUCCGGAGCUAACGCGUUAAGUAGACCGCCUGGGGAGUACGGCCGCAAGGUUAAAACUCAAAUGAAUUGACGGGGGCCCGCACAAGCGGUGGAGCAUGUGGUUUAAUUCGAUGCAACGCGAAGAACCUUACCUGGUCUUGACAUCCACAGAACUUUCCAGAGAUGGAUUGGUGCCUUCGGGAACUGUGAGACAGGUGCUGCAUGGCUGUCGUCAGCUCGUGUUGUGAAAUGUUGGGUUAAGUCCCGCAACGAGCGCAACCCUUAUCCUUUGUUGCCAGCGGUCCGGCCGGGAACUCAAAGGAGACUGCCAGUGAUAAACUGGAGGAAGGUGGGGAUGACGUCAAGUCAUCAUGGCCCUUACGACCAGGGCUACACACGUGCUACAAUGGCGCAUACAAAGAGAAGCGACCUCGCGAGAGCAAGCGGACCUCAUAAAGUGCGUCGUAGUCCGGAUUGGAGUCUGCAACUCGACUCCAUGAAGUCGGAAUCGCUAGUAAUCGUGGAUCAGAAUGCCACGGUGAAUACGUUCCCGGGCCUUGUACACACCGCCCGUCACACCAUGGGAGUGGGUUGCAAAAGAAGUAGGUAGCUUAACCUUCGGGAGGGCGCUUACCACUUUGUGAUUCAUGACUGGGGUGAAGUCGUAACAAGGUAACCGUAGGGGAACCUGCGGUUGGAUCACCUCCUUA